UCAGCAUUUAGAAAUAAAUUGGAAGACCAAUCAGAAAGUGCAAAAUAUUUUCAGACAAGAAUAGGUCGAUAUAUCGUAAAAAAAUAUCGGCCAAACGCCACGUCUGAUGAAAUAAAGAGUG